AAGCCCAGGGGUAAUCCUACCCACUCUCAGAUUUGCAAUCUGAUGACACUCUGAACU
rnacentral:tRNA from 1 species